rnacentral:lncRNA from 1 species
UUCCAUUCAUUGCAUGUGGAGCACAGACAACGCGACAUAUAUAUAUAGAUGAAUAAACAAAAUUUGUAUUCCUACUUGGUAACUCUCCAUCAAAUAUUAAAUAACAUAUAUGGGUCUCGUGACUCUCAUCCACGCUAGUAACAAAAGAAUCUGUUUUUGUUGCACAAAUAAAAAAAAAAGUAAAAAUCACUGUACCAUAGUGCUGGGUUAGUUAUAAAAAAACAGUGCUCGUAUUUUCAUUUUAAGAAACAUCAAAAUCAUUAAAUUUUCUACUAAAAACUAAGUAUUACAUAAA